CACGGAGGAUCCGAGCGUUAUCCGGAUUUAUUGGGUUUAAAGGGUGCGUAGGUGGCCUGUUAAGUCAGGGGUGAAAGACGGUAGCUCAACUAUCGCAGUGCCCUUGAUACUGAUGGGCUUGAAUGAACUAGAGGUAGGCGGAAUGUGACAAGUAGCGGUGAAAUGCAUAGAUAUGUCACAGAACACCAAUUGCGAAGGCAGCUUACUAUGGUUUUAUUGACACUGAGGCACGAAAGCGUGGGGAGCAAACAGG
rnacentral:rRNA from 1 species